AUGGCUCAGAGCGAACGCUGGCGGCGUGGAUUAGGCAUGCAAGUCGAACGGGAUCAGGCCGCAAGGUUUGAUUCAGUGGCGAAAGGGCGAGUAAUACAUCGAUCAUCUGCCCCAGGGCCCGGAACAACACUUGGAAACGAGUGCUAAUACCGGAUGGUCCAGAAAUGGUAAACGGCGGGGACCGCAAGGCCUGCCGCCCAGGGAGGAGUCGAUGGCCUAUCAGCUUGUUGGUGAGGUAACGGCUCACCAAGGCGAAGACGGGUAGCCGGACUGAGAGGUUGGUCGGCCGCACUGGGACUGGGACACUGCCCAGACUCCUACGGGAGGCUGCAGUCGAGGAUCUUCCGCAAUGGGGGCAACCCUGACGGAGCGACGCCGCGUGCAGGAUGAAGGCCUUCGGGUCGUAAACUGCUGUCACACGUUAUGAAAAAGUGUGAGUUAAUACCUCACACCUUGACAAAGGCGUGAAAGGAAGCCACGGCUAACUUCGUGCCAGCAGCCGCGGUAAGACGAAGGUGGCUAGCGUUGCUCGGAAUUACUGGGCAUAAAGCGCGCGUAGGUGGUCGUGUAAGCGGGAGAUGAAAGCCCAUGGCUCACCCAUGGAACUGUCCCCCGGACUGCACGGCUCGAGGAAGGAAGGGGAGAAUGGAAUUCCCGGUGUAGCGGUGAAAUGCGUAGAUAUCGGGAGGAACGCCGGUGGCGAAAGCGAUUCUCUGGUCCUUUCCUGACACUGAGGCGCGAGAGCUAGGGGAGCAAACAGGAUUAGAUACCCUGGUAGUCCUAGCUGUAAACGAUGGGCACUAGGUAGAGGGGGUGUCGAUACUCUCUCUGUCGUAGCAAAUGUGUUAAGUGCCCCGCCUGGGGAGUACGGUCGCAAGGCUAAAACUCAAAG
rnacentral:rRNA from 1 species